CCCCCUCUAGUCCUCUCUCUCCCCUCUUCACAUCCAAAAUGUUGGACGUCCAUCUGGUGCUUGUCCAAGGUGUGGUGGCUCCCUGAUUAGAAGGCUAUAGGGAUUUGUCGAGAAGCUGCUGUUUCAGCUUCAGAAGAUCUUUUAAAGAUCUUUCAGAUCAGAUCCAGAUCUGAUUUUUGGAGCAGAGAUUCAUAAGGAG
rnacentral:lncRNA from 1 species